GCAGUAGCCGCGGUAAUACGUAGGGCGCAAGCGUUGUCCGGAAUUAUUGGGCGUAAAGAGCUCGUAGGCGGUCUGUCGCGUCUGGUGUGAAAUCCCGAGGCUCAACCUCGGGCUUGCAUCGGGUACGGGCAGACUAGAGUGCGGUAGGGGAGACUGGAAUUCCUGGUGUAGCGGUGGAAUGCGCAGAUAUCAGGAGGAACACCGAUGGCGAAGGCAGGUCUCUGGGCCGCAACUGACGCUGAGGAGCGAAAGCAUGGGGAGCGAACAGGAUUAGAUACCCCGGUAGUCCCUGUCUCUUAUAC
rnacentral:rRNA from 1 species